rnacentral:lncRNA from 1 species
CCAAAUAAAGCUUAGUUUCUAGAAAACUUUUUUUUUUCCCUGCAGUAUCAAUUUAUUAAGUAUUUACAUGUUGCUUAUGGAGUUAGGUAACCAGGAAUUGAUCCUCCCCAGAAGCCUAAGUAUUUGAUUUCAGGCUGGAAAAUAAACUUUUCCUGAAUCAAUUCAGCUAUUGGAGAGUAGAUUGGCUGUUGAGGGACAAGCAGCAGUCUAAGGACUGUGAUAGGUGGAGAAGGAGGAUGUGCAGUCAGAGAAGUGAGGUGAGCUGUCCAAACAAAUAGCACAAGCUUGAGAAACAGCUAUGGGUUUGAAAAGGCUCUGGACAUUCCAUCUUCAUCUUUACUAUAUGGUGCCAUGACUGCAUUUGCUCAAGUGUCUCUGCCAGGACUUUGAACUUUUCAAGGGCAGGGACUGAGUCUUGGCCCCUAACUUAGUAGGUGAUGAUCUCUUAUAGACCCAUAAAUGAAUAAGAGAGGACAGCUAGAAAGAUUCAGUUCAGUGCCAGAUUAUAGGAGAUUACAGAAGAUUCUAAGGCCAGGAUAAAUAGAGUGUACCUAAAAGUGCUGUUAUACCAUAAAAUCAAUUUAAUGAAGAGAACUCUCUAAUCUGAUUUGUGCACAAAUUUCACUUUGGUGAAGUUGUAGCAGGUAGAUGGCAUAGAAUGUAGAGCUCAAAGGCAUAGGAUUCCAUAUGAGUCUAAUGCAAUGGACCUAGAAAAGUGAUGAUCUAGGCCAGAGUGAGGGCUUCUCAAAGACAACCGAGAGGGAUGCUGAGCGUGCAUAAAGAUGCCUAAAAGUAGCAUUUCAAGACUUAGCCUCUAAUCUGAGGUGGGGGUGGAGGGGGCACUUCAUUGUGACUUGAGCGUCAAGUUCAGGUUCCUUGGAGAGAGCAGGGCCUAUGGUUAAUUAAAAACUAGAGCUCAAAAGUUGUGGCUGAAGAUGAUGCAUUUUGUUUCUGAUUGGAGUACCUGUGGGCCAUGAAAUCAAUUGAAAACAUAGGUUAGCUGCUCAAGAAAGAUGGAGAUUUGAGGGCAUUAGCAUUUAUGUGUAAUGGUGUAGGAGUGGAUGGUUUCUUUGGAGUUUUUUGUUUAUUUUUACUUGCUUUAAUCCACCAUCUCCCUACCCAAUCCAUGUAUAAAUGCUGUUAGAACAGUAGACAGGGUGGAUAAAGGUUGAUAAAUUGAACUAAGAAAAUUAUGGAGUCAAACAAUUAUAAUGUUUUCUUUGGAUAAAUUUUCUAUUCCUAUUUUCAACCUUAUUGCCUGUCUACUGACUGACUUUCUACUGGAUGCUAUAUGGAUGCCGCUUGCCUUUACCAUGGUGUCAUAAACUCUGAAACAUCUGAAAAAAUGAAUUUCACAAUAUGACACCUAGAUUAAUAUCUCUUUAGGCAGUUGUGGUCAUUCCUUCCUUCCACAAGCAUGUGCUAUAUGUGUGGGUAUCAUGUGCCAGACACUGGUCCUGACUCUGGAUAUUGCAACGAACAGUCCCUGGUCUUGUGAAGUUUAUAUUCUCAUAGAGGAGGCUUUGGUCAAUGCACUACACAUGUCUAGGAAUUUUUUGUGCUAUAACUAAUAUAUUUUCCACUGCCAUUCACCACAUCAUUUAAUACAAAGGGGAGUAUGCUGUGCACUGGAGAGUAUUUUAUUAUGUGUAAUCACUCUUUCCCCUCUGAUGUUGAUGGAGGUAUUUCCCUUCUUUCCACUUCAGUCAAGAUGAAUCUCAUCUAUCUAUCACAGGAUUCACAGGAAGACUUGUGAACAAUUUGUGUGACAGCUUCAGAAGGAGAUUCUCACUCUUUCUUUUGGUCUCCUAAAGCAACAGUGUUGAUGACUUAUUGUGCCAGGCUGGGAAACCAAAGCAAUCAUGCUGUUUUACCAACCUUACAUUUAACUCCAGGCAAAUGCACUUUUAUUCUUCUAAUCAUCAUGUUUACCACCUGUGGAAAGGCAUAGAUUUUAGAUUCCAAAAGUCUGGUGAAUCAACUAGAAUAUAAUGAAACUUAAACAAAUCUCCUUUUUCUCUUUUGGAGUUCUCAGCAUCCUGCAUAAGACGGCCAUAGUUGGGAAAGUACAUUUUGAGUAGCUGUGAAUGUAGACUGAAUCCAUCUGAAUUCAAAGACACCGUAGACUAAUGUGAGUUUAAAUCACAGCUCCACCACCUACUUACCAACUGUGUGCUCUUGGAGACUGAUUAACUUCUCUGGGUUUAGUGACCUUCAUAUUGUGGCUAUAACAGGAUCAAUCUCAGAAUGUUGUUGCAAAGGUCAAAUAAAAGUGUACAGACAUAAAUAUAGGUAUAGGUAUAGAUAUAAAUGUAGGUAUAGAUACAGAUAUAUAAAUACACAAGAGACAUUGGGAUGUCUUCCAUUUUCUAAUUCACAACCAUCUUUGAGAAGUGCUGCCAGACUGCAUGGGUGAGGGUGGAGUGGCCAUAUUUUUGGUAUAAUGUCCUGUCUCCUCGCUCCUUGUGGACUGGAGAAGAAUGAGUCCCUAUUUUAAUUUGGAUCCAUUAGAUCCUUUCUUCCCAUAUUUAGCACUUGGCAAUUGAAAGACAUAGAGACAGGGAGUUGCUGAACUGAGUUACACAAAUUUCAGAGCUUGUUUGGUGGAUACAUUCCUGCUCUCUGAAUCUCUGGGCUGUCUUGGUUCUCCUUGUCCUACCUAGAUGUCACUUUUCCCUUGAAUUCUGUGAGAUUCUCAGUAUUCUUCUAGUAGAUCUCUCUUUACUUGGAGGUGGAUUCUGAUUACUCGCAUUCAAGAUAAACUCUUUAAAUGUCUAAAAUUGAGCACUUGAUAGUCUCUCAAAUCUGCUCUUCCUAGUAUUUCCUGUCUCAAAAUUUGCAUCUUGCCACACUAGUUUCUCUGCAGGACAUCUUGGCAUCUUUUUAGACACUGUCUCUUCAGCAUCAUAUCUAGUCUGUCCUAAAGGCACUUUGAAAUCUGUUUUUUCCAAAUUAUCUUUUCUCCAAACCCUUCAUUCAGUGACUGCUCUCUCACCUGGACCCAUUGCUCUCCAGACGGCUUUUUCAACUUCUACUCUAGUUUUCCUUCCAUUCAUUCUCCAUGCAAAAGCCAGAGGAAGAGGAAUUCUGCCAAAAGUGGAUCAUGUAGCACAUCUGCUGAAAUCCUUUCAAUGCCCCUCCACUGUCCUUGGAAUAAAAUGACGCUUCUCCAUCAUCAUUUCCAGGGUCCCACUGUUCUAGUACUGUCCACCACUUCAGCUCCACCUCUCACUCCCCUUGCCCAUGUCCUCUUCUCCCAGUGUGGUUUUUGCCUUGGUUUCUCAAAGAUUACAGAUCCUUCCUUCCCUGGGGUCUCUUUAUGGGUGAUUUUCUCUUUUGAUACUGUUCCUUCCAAAGACUUAUUCAACGCCCUCAUCUCCUCAUCUUGCUCAUUUUUUUGCAAGACCUUCUUGGACCUACACAUCCAGAGCCUCUGAUAAUACAUUUCCUUCAUAACUAUGAUGAUAAAGCGUUUAUAAGCAUGCAUGUUUGCAAGGUUAUUUAUUUAAUUAUUUUCUCUCUCAUGAGACUCCAUGCGAUUUGAAGAGGAGACAAUAUAGUCUGUGACGAUGAGACCAUAUGCUCCAUGAAGACAGAGCAUAGAGUAGGUUUCAUUUUCCCCUAUCCCUAAUGGUAUGGGGUGAUGGAUACAGGAUACCUGGGCUGUUUCCACGGCAUUAUGAAGGUGAACAAAAGGAUGAUAUAUGUUGCUAAACUAAGGCAAGGCCAGGUGAGCUGGCCUUAUUCAGCCCAUCAAUUGACCGAGAUUCAAAGAAUCAGGGCCAUAAAGCACCUUGGCACUUUCAGAUGAAAAUGUGAGGUGGAUAUUUUCUUCCACUUCUCCCUCUAACUGCAGAGUUGUCCUAGGCAGGCAAUGCAAAAGCAUAGAAAUAAACCAAGGUCAAUGAAAGUGCUAUUUCAUUCAGAGGGGAUAUUUUCCAUUCGUUUUAAAAUUAAAGUCUCAUGCAAGUAGCAGAAAAAUACACCACAGAUUCUUUAGCUUGAUUGUUUCAACUUUUAAUAGUGAAGUCAAUAUGUGCCUCCAACUAACUGCUGGGGAUUGUUCUGUGAUUGCCAGGUUGUUUUAUGUAUGUGAAGCAACAAAACAAUAUAAGGUGACAAAUAAAAGAUGGAAAAAUAUAUAAAAGAAAAAAAAAGUUGGCUGUGUGCUACCUCAGGCUUUAAAACUCUUCUUAUACACUUCACCACGAAGUCUAUUAAAGCAAAAUAUAGUGGAAAUACAAUAUACUGCAAUGAAUGUCUUCAAACUAGCAAUUUAGCGCAAAAGCUGAGGGCAGUUCUUAUGCACCGACUUUUAAUACCAAGACGAUUUGUGGUCUCACAAAGUUCCUGCCUUAGGCAAAAGUUGUGCUGAGUUCUAAUAGGUCUAGUUUGUUGGCUGUCAGGAUAAUGGAGAAUUUGGUAGCGGAGGGGCUGGAUGCUGUAAACAGCGGAGAUAAUUAGAAGGUUUGCUGGGAGGAGAGUGAAGCUGGUUUAUAUUCGGUUGCAGGGGAAAGUGUUUGUUCAGGAGACUCCUGGUUGACACAGAGGACCCUGGAUUCCAGAAUGUUUAUUUGGGGAAGUUUUGUGGGUCACUGGACAGGCAAGUUUACUUUUUGAUGGUAAUUCUACUGUUAUUAUUAAUAAUAUUGUAGAAAUUUAUUGAAUACCUACUAUGCACUUAGCUCGGUUCACCCUAUUCUUCAGAGAAGGAAAUCAAGGCUUGAAGGGGUAAGAGAUUUAUCCAAUGUCAGGCACCAGCAAACAGUUGAGGAUUGAAUCUGAGAUAUUACUUGGUGUAGUGACUUAGGCCACAGGUGUGCCAUGGCUAGACACUUUAACGCAUUGCACUGGGCAUUGAACCUGCUUCUCUACAGUAACUCGAGCCACAGCAGUCAGAUUCUUAACCCACUCCACCACAGGGGAAACUCUUAGAGUGUUUUAAAUGAGGAUCCUAUGCACUAAUGCCUGGUUUUGAUUUGGAAUAACUGCAGAGGAAGUUGGCUUCAGAGACAGGAUUUGGGAUCCAGAGUGAGGUUUCUCAUGAAUAAUUAUUAAUGACAUUUUAGGGAUGAAGUUUUCUAGUGAUUUACUCUUUAUUUUUAUCUUGUUGGGGCAAAGUUUGUUUUCUUGCCUGGGAGGAUGAGGUGGCCAUGUCUGCUAGACUUCAGGUGUGACCCCUUAUCCCCCUCCACUUGGUUGCCUUACCAGUUGAAUCAUGUCAAGGAGAGUAAGAAAAUUCAAAGAUGACUUCCCAUAAGUU